AUUGAACGCUGGCGGCAUGCCUUACACAUGCAAGUCGAACGGUAACAGGUCUUCGGAUGCUGACGAGUGGCGAACGGGUGAGUAAUACAUCGGAACGUGCCUAGUAGUGGGGGAUAACUACUCGAAAGAGUGGCUAAUACCGCAUGAGAUCUACGGAUGAAAGCAGGGGAUCGCAAGACCUUGUGCUACUAGAGCGGCCGAUGGCAGAUUAGGUAGUUGGUGGGAUAAAAGCUUACCAAGCCGACGAUCUGUAGCUGGUCUGAGAGGACGAUCAGCCAAACUGGGACAGAGACACGGCCAAGACUCCUACGGGAGGCAGCAGUGGGGAAUUUUGGACAAUGGGCGCAAGCCUGAUCCAGCAAUGCCGCGUGCAGGAUGAAGGCCUUCGGGUUGUAAACUGCUUUUGUACGGAACGAAAAGCCCUGGGUUAAUACCCUGGGGUCAUGACGGUACCGUAAGAAUAAGCACCGGCUAACUACGUGCCAGCCGCCGCCGUAACAC
rnacentral:rRNA from 1 species